AGCAACACCUUGAUUGCUGUGACAUAGCUUGCUAUGCUGCAUAGAGGGACAAUUUGUGAGGAAACCAGAUACGAGCGGGGAGGGAUGAAAAAGAGCUAGAUUUGAAUAUGAAAAAGGCUUAAAUAUAGGGAAGGUGGAGCAAAUGAGAGCAAUGGAACAAAAUCUCAUAGGGAUGGCAAGAGAAAUGGAAUAGUUGCACAUUGAUGUCUUGAAUGCUGAUAACAGAGCACGCGCUCCAAACCAAUAUUGUGUUGGCUAUGCGAAUCCUGAUGCUUCUUAUCCACCCCCAGUAGAAGGCGGUGGUGCCAAUAUUGAUGGAUAUGGGAGGACUC